rnacentral:misc_RNA from 1 species
CGAAAUGCGAUAAGUAAUGUGAAUUGCAGAAUUCAGUGAAUCAUCGAAUCUUUGAACGCACCUUGCGCUCCUUGGUAUUCCUUGGAGCAUGCCUGUUUGAGUAUCAUGAAAUCUUCAAAGUAAAUCUUUUGUUAACUCAAUUGGUUUCUACUUUGGUAUUGGAGGUCUUUGCAGCUUCACACCUGCUCCUCUUUGUUCAUUAGCUGGAUCUCAGUGUUAUGCUUGGUUCCACUCGGCGUGAUAAGUUAUCUAUCGCUGAGGACACUGUAAAAGGUGGCCAAGGUAAAUGCAGAUGAACCGCUUCUAAUAGUCCAUUGACUUGGACAAUACUUUUAUGAUCUGAUCUCAAAUCUGGUAGGACUACCCGCUGAACUUAAGC